UACGUAGGGUGCGAGCGUUAAUCGGAAUUACUGGGCGUAAAGCGUGCGCAGGCGGUUCGCCAAGUCAGGUGUGAAAUCCCCGGGCUUAACCUGGGAAUGGCGAUGGAUACUGGCUCGCUAGAGUGCGGUAGGGGAGAGUGGAAUUCCCGGUGUAGCAGUGAAAUGCGUAGAGAUCGGGAGGAACAUCAGUGGCGAAGGCGGCCCUCUGGACCAGUACUGACGCUGAGGCACGAAAGCGUGGGGAGCAAACAGG
rnacentral:rRNA from 1 species